AUUGAACGCUGGCGGCAGGCCUAACACAUGCAAGUCGAACGCGUGGCGGACGGGUGAGUAAUGUCUGGGAGACCGCCCGAUGGAGGGGGGUAACUACUGGAAACGGUAGCUAAUACCGCAUACCAUCUUGUAUGCCCCGAUGGGAGUAGCUUGUAGUUGGGGUAACGGCUCACCUAGGCGACGAUCCCUAGCUGGUCUGAGAGGAUGACCAGCCACACUGGAACUGAGACACGGUCCAGACUCCUACGGGAGGCAGCAGUGGGGAAUAUUGCACAAUGGGCGCAAGCCUGAUGCAGCCAUGCCGCGUGUAUGAAGAAGGCCUUCGGGUUGUAAAGUACUUUCAGCGGGGAGGCGUUACCCGCAGAAGAAGCACCGGCUAACUCCGUGCCAGCAGCCGCGGUAAUUC
rnacentral:rRNA from 1 species